GAAAUGGAGGAAGCUGAGGCGACUGACAAUCGUGCAAGCGGACGACCCUCCAGCGCAAGGAUCUCAUUGUGUGGACGUCGUUCGAAACAUGGGAGAUGCGGCGCUCAUCAUCCAGUCAACAUGGCGAAGGUGGGCUAUGCGGUGGCGUGUGUCCGGAGCGGUGGCUGACGCAGACGAACAAGCCUGGACACGGGCUCUCGACCACUUGCAGCUAUUCACCAGGUGCAACUUGUCGAUGGGAAAGUGCUGACCUCGCUUGCAGAUUGUUUUCCUUGACCGCCCGCAAGCGUUCCUCGAAAGCACAUUUUAAUAAACGGCCUGGGCCCACUUCCACCGCAGCAGCACAAACAGCAGAACUCUGUGUUGAGCCCUCAACGAGUCGCAGAAGACUUCCGCGAACAGCGGACCGCCGAAAUUUGGAGUCGUAGCGCCCCAUAGAAAAGCGCGCUGGGUCCUGGUGUGUCCAAUUUAGCACGGCCGCCAGCACAGACGGCUCUGCCGCGAUUGUUCUACGCGC